GCAAAAGACCAAAUCCUGGGAAUCUCUGAGGACGCCACUGCUUCUUUGAGGACUUUCUUCAUUAGCGGUUUGGUCCAGAGCUCUGGCCUCUGUGGUGCCUCAAAUGUCUGCUCUGUUGGGCCCUGUCAGGAUGACAGUCAGCCAUAGACAAGACAACUGGCUCCUUCCCGCUCACCUCCCAUUGGACACAGUCUUAUAAGCCAGGGACCUGAGGAUGGAGAACCAUGAACCAACUUUUGGAGAAGAGGCUGAAUGGCAGGAGAACAGACCUCCAAGGAUGGCGACAUGACUCUUGCUCCCUGAAGUCUAUCUCCUUCUUUAGAUUCAGGCUACUGGGAGGAAGGGGCUUUGGACAUUUACUGUAGAGGCAAUAGUGCACAAAACAGUGACCUGAGAGGCCAGGAGUUUGGUUUCAGUUCUGGGUUUCUCACACCAGUUUAGCUUUGAGGAUAUUAGAAAACAGUGUUAAGCCCAUGAACUCUGGAGGUAGACUGCCUGGAUUCAAACUGCAGCUUUGUUACUUUCUAACCUGGUGACGUCGGGCUUGCUAUGGCCUUAGUUUUCCCAGUUGUAAAAUGGGGAAUAAUAGCAGCACCUAU